GCCGCAUGGCACUGCACAGUCCGACUCAGUUCGUCAGUGACACAUAAUCUACAACUAUAUCAAAAUGUUCCCGAAUCCGUUCGACAGGAAGCACUCCACCAUCCGCCAAGUGAUCGAUAAAAUCCUCAGGCCGGAAUCGAACAACCACCAACGGAGAAGCUCCGUCUUCUCCUCUGGAGGCUUCAGGUCCAAAGUCAUCAAAGCUUGACUUACGAAGAUACUCGACAUCGUCGUUUUUAUUAUUAUUAUAAUGUUGUGGUAAAUAACCAAAGAAACACGAGGAGCAAAGAGAGAAAGACUGGGCUUGUAUUCUAUUAGCCGACUGACCCGACAAAACGUGUCGCCAGGCCGAUCUAGGCUGACUGCAGUAUUUUGUCCGAAAACAUCUUAGCUACGAGAUGAAGGACAACCCCGAAACUAGUUUCUAGACGACUAUUUAUUUGUUUUUAUACGUUAUAUUUAUUUAAUAAAAAAAAUAUCGAUUUA